rnacentral:rRNA from 1 species
GGUUGUAAACCUCUUUUAGUAGGGAAGAAGCGAAAGUGACGGUACCUGCAGAAAAAGCACCGGCUAACUACGUGCCAGCAGCCGCGGUAAUACGUAGGGUGCAAGCGUUGUCGGGAAUUAUUGGGCGUAAAGAGCUAGUAGGCGGUUUGUUGCGUCUGCUGUGAAAACCCGAGGCUCAACCUCGGGCUUGCAGUGGGUACGGGCAGACUAGAGUGCGGUAGGGGAGAUUGGAAUUCUUGGUGUAGCGGUGGAAUGCGCAGAUAUCAGGAGGAACACCGAUGGCGAAGGCAGAUCUCUGGGCCGUAACUGACGCUGAGGAGCGAAAGCGUGGGGAGCGAACAGGAUUAGAUACCGUGGUAGUCCACGCCGUAAACGUUGGGAACUAGAUGUGGGGACCAUUCCACGGUCUCCGUGUCGCAGCUAACGCAUUAAGUUCCCCGCCUGGGGAGUACGGCCGCAAGGCUAAAACUCAAAGGAAUUGACGGGGGCCCGCACAAGCGGCGGAGCAUGCGGAUUAAUUCGAUGCAACGCGAAGAACCUUACCAAGGCUUGACAUAUACCGGAAACGUCUGGAAACAGUCGCCCCGCAAGGUCGGUAUACAGGUGGUGCAUGGUUGUCGUCAGCUCGUGUCGUGAGAUGUUGGGUUAAGUCCCGCAACGAGCGCAACCCUCGUUCUAUGUUGCCAGCACGUAAUGGUGGGAACUCAUAGGAGACUGCCGGGGUCAACUCGGAGGAAGGUGGGGAUGACGUCAAAUCAUCAUGCCCCUUAUGUCUUGGGCUUCACGCAUGCUACAAUGGCCGGUACAAAGGGCUGCAAUACCGUAAGGUGGAGCGAAUCCCAAAAAGCCGGUCUCAGUUCGGAUUGAGGUCUGCAACUCGACCUCAUGAAGUCGGAGUCGCUAGUAAUCGCAGAUCAGCAACGCUGCGGUGAAUACGUUCCCGGGCCUUGUACACACCGCCCGUCAAGUCAUGAAAGUCGGUAACAC